rnacentral:rRNA from 1 species
AUUGAACGCUGGCGGCAGGCCUAACACAUGCAAGUCGAACGAGUGGCGGACGGGUGAGUAAUGUCUGGGAAACUGCCUGAUGGAGGGGGAUAACUACUGUAAACGGUAGCUAAUACCGCAUACCAUCAGAUGUGCCCAGAUGGGAUUAGCUAGUUGGUGGGGUACCGGCUCACCAAGGCGACUAUCCCUAGCUGGUCUGAGAGGAUGACCGGCCAAACGGGGACUGAGACACGGCCCAGACGCCGACGGGAGGCAGCAGUGGGGAAUAUUGGACAAUGGGAGAAAGCCUGAUGCAGCCAUGCCGCGUGUAUGAAGAAGGCCUUCGGGUUGUAAAGUACUUUCAGCGGGGAAGCGGUACCCACAGAAGAAGCACCGGCUAACUCCGUGCCAGCAGCCGCGGUAAUUC